rnacentral:rRNA from 1 species
UGGGGGAUAUUGCACAAUGGGCGAAAGCCUGAUGCAGCGACGCCGCGUGGGGGAUGAAGGCCUUCGGGUUGUAAACUUCUUUUGCUCUGAACAAGGCGCACCAUGGGGUGUGUUGAGUGUAGGGGUUGAUUAGCGCCGGCUAACUACGUGCCAGCAGCCGCGGUAAUACGUAGUGCUCGAGCGUUGUCCGGAAUUAUUGGGCGUAACGGGCUUGUAGGUGGCUGGUUGCGUCUGUCGUGAAAGCUCAUGGCUUAACUGUGGGUUUGCGGUGGGUACGGGCUAGCUUACGUGCCGUAGGCGAGGCUUGAAUUGCUGGUUUAGCGGGUGAAUGCGCAGAUAUCAGGAGGGAUACCGGUGGCGAAGGCGGGUCUCUGGGCUGUUACUGACACUGAGGAGCGAAAGCAUGGGGAGCGAACAGG